rnacentral:rRNA from 1 species
UGGAUUAGUGGCGAACGGGUGAGUAACACGUGAGUAACCUGCCCUCCACUUUGGGAUAACUCCGAGAAAUCGGGGCUAAUACUGGAUAUGACCUUGGCCCGCAUGGGUCGUGGUGGAAAGUUUUUCGGUGGGGGAUGGGCUCGCGGCCUAUCAGUUUGUUGGUGAGGUAGUGGCUCACCAAGGCGAUGACGGGUAGCCGGCCUGAGAGGGCGACCGGCCACACUGGGACUGAGACACGGCCCAG